AGGGUAAACGCUGGCGGCGUGCCUAAAACAUGCAAGUCGCACGGAUUCCGUCUUCGGACGGGGUGAGUGGCAGACGGCUGAGUAACGCGUGGGUGACCUGCCCAGAAGUGGGGAAUAACUGCCCGAAAGGGUGGCUAAUACCGCAUACGUCCCUUCAUUCGUGUGAGGGGGGAAAGUCGUAAGGCGCUUUUGGAAGGGCCCGCGUUCGAUUAGCUGGUUGGUGGGGUAACGGCCUACCAAGGCGACGAUCGAUAGCUGGUCUCAGCGGAUGAUCAGCCAGACUGGGACUGAGACACGGCCCAGACUCCUACGGGAGGCAGCAGUUAGGAAUUUUGGGCAAUGGGCGCAAGCCUGACCCAGCAACGCCGCGUGGGUGAUGACGGCCUUCGGGUUGUAAAGCCCUUUCUGAGGGACGAUGAUGACGGUACCUCAGGAAGAAGCACCGGCUAACUACGUGCCAGCAGCCGC
rnacentral:rRNA from 1 species